AGAACGAACGCUGGCGGCAUGCCUAACACAUGCAAGUCGAACGAGACCUUCGGGUCUAGUGGCGCACGGGUGCGUAACGCGUGGGAAUCUGCCCUUGGGUUCGGAAUAACAGUUGGAAACGACUGCUAAUACCGGAUGAUGACGUAAGUCCAAAGAUUUAUCGCCCAGGGAUGAGCCCGCGUAGGAUUAGCUAGUUGGUGAGGUAAAGGCUCACCAAGGCGACGAUCCUUAGCUGGUCUGAGAGGAUGAUCAGCCACACUGGGACUGAGACACGGCCCAGACUCCUACGGGAGGCAGCAGUGGGAAUAUGGACAAUGGGCGAAAGCCUGAUCCAGCAAUGCCGCGUGAGUGAUGAAGGCCUUAGGGUUGUAAACCUCUUUUAGUAGGGAAGAAGCGAAAGUGACGGUACCUGCAGAAAAAGCAACCGGCUAACUACGUGCCAGCAGCCGC
rnacentral:rRNA from 1 species